UAAUCGCUAACAUUAGCUAAGAUGCUAGUUUUUGUAACGGCAGGAAUAAACACAUGGUAACAAAAAUAUUCGAAACAUGUCUAGCUUCCCUUAACACAUUAAUACAGUGUAAUUGUGAAGUUGUAUGGUUCACUGUGUUCAAAAUCUUAAUAACCCUCUUCAUCUCGACCAUCUGAUGGUUGUUAUGGGAAACUAGUUAGCUGUUGUCUAGGGGAAAGUUGUAGUUCACAAAGUGCUCUCACACAAAGUCUAAACGCAUCAAACUUCUGCCCGCUAAAUUGUAGCAUUCUUUACACGGAAAUUUAUAUUAAAAAUUCAGACAACAUAUGUUGACAUUCAUGGCAAAAUUCAAACGGGACCAGAAAAUAAUUAUUUUCUCACUUGCAUUAACGGUCACAUGACAAUUCAGCUCACAUUACACGCCGUUGGACUGGAGCAACGCGAGCUGUUUUCCCAAGAUGGCGCCAGACUGUAUAUGUAAACGCAGGUGCAGGGUGGGUUCCUGGACCAGCUGCUUGCAGUGGUUGAUGCUUUCUUACCCAUUAGGACUGGUCAUCAGCCGCACAUCAGUAUUGGCAGAUGCUACAGGUAAGUACUGACAGCACUCUGAUAACAUUUUCCUGUGAUCUACUCCAACUGGUUUAUUAGAUUGUAGUCGGACUUCCUGGAGGAGGUCUUUUCUCUGGACCUGAGUGCCUACAGCCGUCUCCAGGCCCUCGCCGAGGGGCUCUUCAGCUGUCUAGAGCAGCGGGUGGACCAACUGCUGAGCACGCUCCCAUCACCCUAAUAUCUUUGACAAGCAAUGAUUGAAGGCCUACUGCUCCAGGACCAGGAGUACUGAGACAAAAUAGCUCUUCAAGAAUGGCAAGGAAUACGUGCCCAGGAAGACCAGGAAUAUAAUGAAAGUUUGUUGGUGGAUCAGGAGAAGGCUAUUGAGGCAAGACGUCAGCGAAUGUCUGCAUGUAAGGAACCCUCAGAUGGGGUGUUAACCAAAUGGAUACAUCAAUAUGAGGAAAUUCAGCUUGUCACAGCCCAUCCAGACCUUGUUUGACUUUGUGGGACAAGAUGAUAAUGCCAGUGAAGUCUUUGUGAUACAAGAAGCCACAUCAUCAAAACCAAGUGAAAGCAGUUCCUUUGGGUCAAUAAUGGAUAAUGGCAUACAAGCAUCCUCUACUCUAUAUGUACUUUGGUUUUCAAAUCAGGAUGUACAGGAGAUUCUCUCAGAUCAACAAAAUGAUGGAGCUGGUCAGCCACCACUGUCUGAGACCUCCACCCAGUCAAGUUUCUCUGUGCCCUCUCUCCAGCCACCACUGUCUGAGACCUCCACUCAUGGUCAGCAAAAUUGAUGGAAGCUUCUGUCCAACAAGCAACCAAAUAAAUGUGUGCAGGGAUAACGUUUUACUGUGUAGCCUGCGGGCGUUCAAGCGCAGGUUCUUUAAUCCUGAAGCAAAAUUGGAUGUUGUGUUUGUGGAUGAAGAUGACAAUGGUGAGGGGGCAGUUGACGAAGGCGGCCUGACAAGAGAGUACUUAAGGCUGUUGAUGAGGGCCGUCCAGUCAAUUAUCUUUGAGGGACACGAGAAAGAUCGACGGUUGUCUCUUGAUACACAAGCUUUGCAGACUAAACUUUAUAUGUGGGUGGGAAAAUGAUUGCUGUGUGUGUCGUCCAUGGAGAAGUCGGUCCACACUUCUUUUCCGAAAGGCUUUUUCAUCAAAUCUGUGGGAUCCCAACACCCCUGUCCACGGUGGAUGAAGUUGGUGACCAUACGUUCAGGGAGCAGUUAAAUAAACUGGCUUCUCUGGAUCAGAUUAUUAUCAUGCUGGUGUGAAUGAUCAUUGGGCUUGCUCCACACGGAGGCUGGCUACAACACCUGCACUCUCCAAUAAGCAUCGGCUCACACUGAAGGACGAAGGUAGAGAAAGGAAAGGACUUCCAUCCAUCCAUCCGUGAGCGGUGCUGCACUUUACUGUCUGGUCGAGGAGAUUUCUCGGGACAGCUGGACCUAGAUGCUACUCUGCGAAAGAUCUACUGCGGCCGCCGAGCUGCUGCAGACCUGCGAGCUGCCAUCUGCCUUGCCUGGAGUCUGGAUUGUGCAGACUAGCUUCUAGCUGCUAACGUUUGAAACUAUGUUGAAGAACUGCAAUCUCUCGGAGCAUCAAACUGUCGCUGUCAUAAGCCGGUUCAGACGGUUAUGCCAGAGAGGGUUAAAGCAGAGCAUCAAGGAUCUUUGAUUAUGCUUCCAGUAAUCUAGACCAGUGGUUCUCAACCUUUUUUCAGUGAUGUACCCCCUGUGAAAUAUUUUUUCAGCCAAGUACCCCCUAACCAGCACACAAGAAUUACGCUUCAACCACGAGUCCAUCGUUUGAGUUUUGACAGUGAUUGACAGGUGAUGGCGGGUGGCAUGAGACAGGUUGGGUCGAACCAUCCUGGUAUGAGGGGGACUCUGGGUUUUUAGGAUAAUGAAAUUGAA